GCCGGGCGCAGUGGCACACGCCUGUAACUCCAUGCCUCGAGAGGCUGAGGCUGGAGGAUCACAAGUUCAGAGCCAGCCUCAGCAACUUAGUGAGGCCCUCAGAAACUCAGUGAGACCCUGUCUCUA
rnacentral:sRNA from 1 species